AUUGAACGCUGGCGGCGGGCCUAACACAUGCAAGUCGAACGAGUGGCGGACGGGUGAGUAAUGUCUGGGAAACUGCCUGAUGGAGGGGGAUAACUACUGGAAACGGUAGCUAAUACCGCAAACCAUCAGAUGUGCCGAGAUGGGAUUAGCUAGUUGGUGGGGUAAAGGUUCACAAAGGCGACGAUCCCUAGCUGGUCUGAGAGGAUGACCAGCCACACGGUAACUGAGACACGGCCCAGACUCCUACGGGAGGCAGCAGUUGGGAAUAUUGCACAAUGGGCGCAAGCCUGAUGCAGCCAUGCCGCGUGUAUGAAGAAGGCCUUCGGUUUGUAAAGUACUGUCAGCGGGGAGGCGUUACCCGCAGAAGAAGCACCGGCUAACUCCGUGCCAGCAGCCGCGGUAAUUC
rnacentral:rRNA from 1 species